ACAGACUGAAAAUGACCCCGGAUGUGUCAGUGGUCCGGGGUCAGAUAACUGUGCCUAUAGUACUUUGGUGCGUUAAGCUUAUUACGUGCGUCUCCCGGUGGCAUCGUGAUAAAACCCAUGUACCAACAAAC